AUGUGAAAUUGAUUGUCAAUCAGUGUUGCUUCCUAAGUGGACAGUUUGAUUUCACAGAAGUUUGAUUUAUUGUGUUGUUUAAGUGUUCCCUUUAUUUUUUUGAGCAGUGUAUAAUUUCUUCCAUCUUUUAAUACGUUCCGGGGUGUGGAGCACUUUGAUCCAGCUCCACCUUUUAACAUGCUCACUGUUUCUCCAUUGCUUGUUUGGUUUUCCCAUGACCCCUUCUCAGGCAUUAGAACAUUGGAGAAAAAUAAACAACCAGACCUAGGAGAAGCUAUUUAGAGCUGCUUGACUCGACUCCCUUCCUGUCUAGAUUUUUUUUUGGAGAACAUGUUUUCCAACCACCGGGAAAAGAAAACUGUGGUCUUCUGAAUUUUCUUUUCUGUUUUUCCUCCUAGCUGCAGGGGGCCCGGCUCUGCUCCAUCUCUCCCUACUCUGCAUACAACCUGUUGUUUUUCCAUUGAGUCACUGACUGCUAUAGUUUUGGCUUGAAGCCCCGUCUCCAGCUGGCAGUGUAGUGCACUCUGUUGAUGUUAUUGUGAGACAUUGAACAUUAAAGUAAUCUGCAUGAAACUGUAAAUAAAUAAAUGGAGAAUAAAAACAUAAAGUAUAAAUAA